rnacentral:rRNA from 1 species
CCCUAGUAACUGCGAGUGAAGCGGGAAAAGCUCAAAUUUAAAAGCUGGUGGUCUUUAGGCCAUCCGCAUUGUAAUCUAGAGAAGUGUUAUCCGUGCUGGACCGUGUACAAGUCUCCUGGAAUGGAGCGUCAUAGAGGGUGAGAAUCCCGUCUUUGACACGGACUGCCAGGGCUUUGUGAUGCGCUCUCAAAGAGUCGAGUUGUUUGGGAAUGCAGCUCAAAAUGGGUGGUAAAUUCCAUCUAAAGCUAAAUAUUGGCGAGAGACCGAUAGCGAACAAGUACCGUGAGGGAAAGAUGAAAAGAACUUUGGAAAGAGAGUUAAACAGUACGUGAAAUUGCUGAAAGGGAAACGCUUGAAGUCAGUCACAUUGACCAGGGAUCAACCUUGCUUUUGCUGGSCGUACUCUCUGGUUGAUGGGCCAGCAUCAAUUUUGGCCACUGGAAAAAGGCCAAGGGAAUGUGGCAUCUUCGGAUGUGUUAUAGCCCUUGGUUGCAUACAGUGGCUGGGAUUGAGGAACUCAGCAUGCCGCAAGGCCGGGUUUUAACCACGUUCGUGCUUAGGAUGCUGGCAUAAUGGCUUUAAUCGACCCGUCUUGAAACACGGACCAAGGAGUCUAACAUGCCUGCGAGUGUUUGGGUGGAAAACCCGAGCGCGUAAUGAAAGUGAAAGUUGAGAUCCCUGUCGUGGGGAGCAUCGACGCCCGGACCAGACCUUUUGUGACGGAUCUGCGGUAGAGCAUGUAUGUUGGGACCC